rnacentral:rRNA from 1 species
GAAGUAAAAGUCGUAACAAGGUUUCCGUAGGUGAACCUGCGGAAGGAUCAUUAGCACACAUCUGGGGAAUGGUUUCCUUUGGCUCUAUGUGGACAUUGGGUAAUGUGUCAGCGCGGUGGUUCCUUUUUGGAAACGGGUUAUGUAUUUAUCGAAGGCGCUCUUAUGGAAAUUGCAUCAACAACGAACAACUCCUAGCAAUGGAUAUCUUGGUUCCCGCAACGAUGAAGAACGCAGCGAAAUGCGAUACGUAGUGCGAAUUGCAGAAUUCAGUGAAUCAUCGAAUCUUUGAACGCAAGUUGCGCUCGGGAGAGCCCUUCCGAGCAUGCUUCUUUGAGUGUCGGUUUCCAUCUCUCACCCCCCCGGGUGAGGACAGUGAGAGUCGGGGCGGUCGCCCUCUCUUGAAAUUCGAGGCCGUAAGUCCAAGCGAUUUCUGGGAAGCGUAACACAGUCGUUCAUGGCACACCAACCACACACACAGAUCUCAAAUGAAGUAAGACUACCCGCCGAAUUUAAGCAUAUCAAUA